rnacentral:tRNA from 1 species
GGAGAUGUAGCUCAGCGGUAGAAUGCCUGCCUGGCAUGCAUGAGGACCUGGGUUUGAACCUCAGCAUCACAC